rnacentral:snRNA from 1 species
GGAAAAAUAGAGAUGGUG